CCUACGGGGGGCAGCAGUGGGGAAUAUUGGGCAAUGGAGGAAACUCUGACCCAGCAACGCCGCGUGAAUGAUGAAGGUCUUCGGAUUGUAAAGUUCUUUUCUAAGGGAAGAAGAAAGUGACGGUACCUUAGGAAUAAGCCUCGGCUAACUACGUGCCAGCAGCCGCGGUAAUACGUAGGAGGCGAGCGUUGUCCGGAUUUACUGGGUGUAAAGGGCGUGUAGCCGGGUUGACAAGUCAGAUGUGAAAUCCUGCGGCUUAACCGCAGAACUGCAUUUGAAACUGUUGAUCUUGAGUACUGGAGAGGCAGGCGGAAUUCCUAGUGUAGCGGUGAAAUGCGUAGAUAUUAGGAGGAACACCAGUGGCGAAGGCGGUCUGCUGGACAGCAACUGACGGUGAGGCGCGAAAGCGUGGGGAGCAAACAGGAUUAGAUACCCUAGUAGUC
rnacentral:rRNA from 1 species